UGAAUAUUCAGUAAUUGGAAUAACUAACUUUAUCGGACACUCUAAAGAAAUCCGCGUGAACCCGAAAUCCGUGUAAAAAACGCGUGAAUUCCGAAAUCCGUGUUAAUUUUGAAAUCCGAGCAAAAAAACCUAGUGUAUUUCAUGGUUUCUAACUGGUUUACGGCGGUAUGUGCUUCGCCAAACUAGUACUACAGUGACCAGAGCUGGUCCGUGAGAGCCAGGUCUUAUAUGUUAUUGUCAAUUGACAACCUAACGGUGAUUUUUUUUGUUUUUAUCAUAUAUUUAGUGAAAAAGUGAUCAGUUCUAGUCCAUUUACGAGUAUUGAAUAUUUAGUUCGCUGUCCCAUUAAUUUUUUCCGCUAAACGACCGUAGCGCAUUUAACGUUCUCGUUACUGCACGCUUUAGGUAGAAGGAAAUGGAAAAUAAAGGGCGGAAAAGACCAACGAAAAUUUUCAUUCUACACUGUGUGGUGAUCACACUGUUUGCCUACUCUGUGCUGGCGGUGCUGGCACAGUCCACCUACUAUGUGACGGGCUUCACAUUCGGGCUCUGGUGGCCCUGCGUUAUUUUGUUCCUUGUGUUGCUGGUUUAUUUCAUAUUUAUUUACAGAGGUAUGAGUGAAGCACCUUUUCUUACCUUUUUGUGCAUGAUGAUACCUAUUGUAGCUGUUUACGAAAUUUGCGAAAGGAUAGCGAUUAAUGUUCGAAAAUUAUUCCUCAGAAAAUAAACAAAACUUUUUCUUUGAAUAUUAAAA